GGAUGCCUUGGCAUGCUUAGCCGAUGAAGGACGUGUGAGGCUGCGUUAUGCCUCGGGGAGUUGCCAACAAAGCGUUGAUCCGAGGAUGUCCGAAUGGGGAAACCUGGCACUUGUUAUGGAGUGUUACCUGCAGAUGAAUGUAUAGUCUGUGUGGGGGUUACGCGGGGAAGUGAAACAUCUCAGUACCCGUAGGAGAAGAUAUUCCGUGAGUAGUGGCGAGCGAAAGCGGAGGAGGCUAAACCGUGUGUGUGUUCAAGCCGGCAGGUGUUGCAUGUGCGGGGUUGUGGGGGCCUUGUGGUUCUGCUGCCGCAGGAUUGGCCAGUGAGAAAUGUUGCGUGAAGGUGAAGCGUCUGGGAAGGCGUACCGGAGUGGGUGAGAGUCCUGUAACUGUAAGCGUGGCACUGGUGUGGGGUUGCCCCGAGUAGCGUGGAACUCGUGGAAUUUCGCGUGAAUCUGGCGGGACCACCCGUCAAGCCUAAAUACUCCUUGGUGACCGAUAGUGGAUGAGUACCGUGAGGGAAGGGUGAAAAGUACCCCGGGAGGGGAGUGAAAGAGUUCCUGAAACCGUGCGCUUACAAUCCGUCAGAGCACCGUUUGUGUGUGAUGGCGUGCCUUUUGAAGAAUGAGCCUGCGAGUCAGCGGCAUGUCGCGAGGUUAACCCGUUAUGUGGGGUAGUCGUAGCGAAAGCGAAUCCUAAUUGGGUGUUGUAAGUGGCAUGUCCUGGACCCGAAGCGGGGUGAUCU
rnacentral:rRNA from 1 species